rnacentral:rRNA from 1 species
UGCGGUUAUACAAAAAUUAAAUUAAUUUUUUUUAGGAUUUAAUAAAUAAAAUUUAAAUUAAUAAUUUAAAUUUUAAAUUAUAAGGUGAAAUUUUAAUUUAAUUAAAAUUUAUUUAUUUUUAUGAUAUUAAUAAAUUUUAUAAAAAACUAGGAUUAGAUACCCUAUUAUAAAAAUUUAAAUUUAAUAAUCUUAAAAUAGUAUAUAAUUUUUUAUAGAAACUUAAAUAAUUUGGCGGUAUUUUAGUUCAUUUAGAGGAAUCUGUCUAAUAAUUGAUAAUCCACGAUUAAAUUUACUUAAUUUUUAAUUUUGUAUAUCGUUGUUAAAAAAAUAUUUUUAAAUAAUUAUAAUAUUUUAAAAUUUAAAUAAAAAAUUAAAUCAGAUCAAGAUGCAGAUUAUAAUUAAGAAUAUGAUGGAUUACAAUAAAAUUUAUUUUAUUUGGAUAUUAAUUUGAAAUAAAUUAAUUGAAAUUGGAUUUAAAUGUAAUUUUAUUAAUUUUAAUAAAAUGAUUUUAAAUUAAAAUAUGUACAUAUUGCCCGUCGCUUUCAUUUAUAAAUUGAAAUAAGUCGUAACAAAGUAGAAGUACUGGAAAGUGUUUCUAGAAAGAU